rnacentral:rRNA from 1 species
CCUACGGGUGGCAGCAGUGGGGAAUAUUGCACAAUGGGGGAAACCCUGAUGCAGCGACGCCGCGUGAGCGAAGAAGUAUUUCGGUAUGUAAAGCUCUAUCAGCAGGGAAGAAACUGACGGUACCUGACUAAGAAGCACCGGCUAAAUACGUGCCAGCAGCCGCGGUAAUACGUAUGGUGCAAGCGUUAUCCGGAUUUACUGGGUGUAAAGGGAGCGUAGACGGAUAGGCAAGUCUGGAGUGAAAGCCCGGGGCUCAACCCCGGGACUGCUUUGGAAACUGUUUAUCUAGAGUGCUGGAGAGGUAAGUGGAAUUCCUAGUGUAGCGGUGAAAUGCGUAGAUAUUAGGAGGAACACCAGUGGCGAAGGCGGCUUACUGGACAGUAACUGACGUUGAGGCUCGAAAGCGUGGGGAGCAAACAGGAUUAGAUACCCGAGUAGUC